CCCUUAGAUGUUCUGGGCGGCCCGCGCACUACAUUGGCACUAGCAAAGAGAUCCUAGAUUGAAUUCUUUGGGGUAUUCUUCUAAAUGGUGUCGUGACUGGGAUAAAUCCUUGUAAUUAUUGGUUUUGAACGAGGAAUUCCUUGUAAUCGCGGUUUAUCAGCUCGCGUUGAAUGCGUCCCUGCCCUUUGUACACACCGCCCGUCGCUCCUACCGAUGGAUCGUCCGGUGAAGCUCACGGAGUGACUGUUCACGCAACGGUUUACGAAGUGGAAUGGACCUCACGAUUUAGAGGAAGGAGAAGUCGUAACA
rnacentral:rRNA from 1 species